UAAAUGCGGAAGAGAUAAGUGCUGAAAGCAUCUAAGCACGAAACUUGCCCCGAGAUGAGUUCUCCCUGACCCUUUAAGGGUCCUGAAGGAACGUUGAAGACGACGACGUUGAUAGGCCGGGUGUGUAAGCGCAGCGAUGCGUUGAGCUAACCGGUACUAAUGAACCGUGAGGCUUAACCUUACAACGCCGAAGCUGUU
rnacentral:rRNA from 1 species